rnacentral:rRNA from 1 species
GACGAACGCUGGCGGCGUGCUUAACACAUGCAAGUCGAACGGAAAGGCCCUGCUUUUGUGGGGUGCUCGAGUGGUGAACGGGUGAGUAACACGUGAGUAACCUGCCCUUGACUUUGGGAUAACUUCAGGAAACUGGGGCUAAUACCGGAUAGGAGCUCCUGCUGCAUGGUGGGGGUUGGAAAGUUUCGGCGGUUGGGGAUGGACUCGCGGCUUAUCAGCUUGUUGGUGGGGUAGUGGCUUACCAAGGCUUUGACGGGUAGCCGGCCUGAGAGGGUGACCGGCCACAUGGGGACUGAGAUACGGCCCAGACUCCUACGGGAGGCAGCAGUGGGGAAUAUUGCACAAUGGGCGGAAGCCUGAUGCAGCAACGCCGCGUGCGGGAUGACGGCCUUCGGGUUGUAAACCGCUUUCGCCUGUGACGAAGCGUGAGUGACGGUAAUGGGUAAAGAAGCACCGGCUAACUACGU